rnacentral:rRNA from 1 species
AACGUAGGUGGCAAGCGUUAUCCGGAUUCACUGGGCGUAAAGCGCACGCAGGCGGCUCGGUAGGUCGGGCAUGAAAUCUCCUGGCAUAACUAGGAGACGCUGUCCUAAACCCCCGAGCUUGAGGAUGGGAGAGGGCAGUGGAAUUGCCGGUGUAGUGGUGAAAUGCGUAGAGAUCGGCAGGAACACCAGUGGCGUAAGCGACUGCCUGGCCCAUACCUGACGCUCAGGUGCGAAAGCUAGGGGAGCGAACGGG